GACGAACGCUGGCGGCGUGCUUAACACAUGCAAGUCGAGCGGUAAGGCCCUUUCGGGGGUACGACGAGCGGCGAACGGGUGAGUAACACGUGGGUGACCUGCCCUCAGCUCUGGGAUAAGCCUGGGAAACUGGGUCUAAUACCGGAUAUGACCCCACUGACGCAUGUCGUGGGGUGGAAAGCCUUGUGCGGCUGAGGAUGGGCCCGCGGCCUAUCAGCUUGUUGGUGGGGUGAUGGCCUACCAAGGCGACGACGGGUAGCCGGCCUGAGAGGGCGACCGGCCACACUGGGACUGAGACACGGCCCAGACUCCUACGGGAGGCAGCAGGUGGGGAAUCUUGCGCAAUGGGCGAAAGCCUGACGCAGCGACGCCGCGUGAGGGAUGACGGCCUCGGUUGUAA
rnacentral:rRNA from 1 species